rnacentral:rRNA from 1 species
UGGGGAAUUGUUCACAAUGGGCGAAAGCCUGAUGACGCAACGCCGCGUGGAGGAUGAAGGUCUUCGGAUUGUAAACUCCUGUUGCCCGGGACGAAAAGCUCUGACCUAACACGUCAGAGUCUGACGGUACCGGGUGAGGAAGCCCCGGCUAACUCUGUGCCAGCAGCCGCGGUAAUACAGAGGGGGCAAGCGUUAAUCGGAAUGACUGGGCGUAAAGGGCGCGUAGGUGGACAUAUAAGUAAAUUGUGAAAGACCCGGGCUUAACCUGGGAAGGUCAAUUUAAACGGUAUGUCUGGAGUGGAGUAGAGGGAAGUAGAAUUUCCGGUGUAGCGGUGAAAUGCGUAGAUAUCGGAAGGAAUACCGGUGGCGAAGGCGUCUUCCUGGACUCUAACUGACACUGAGGCGCGAAAGCAUGGGGAUCAAACAGGAUUAGAUACCCAAGUAGUCCCUGAGCGGGCUGGCAAGGCGCAU